rnacentral:tRNA from 1 species
GCCUGGGUGGCGGAACUGGUAGACGCAAGGGACUUAAAAUCCCUCGGAGCCCCGUUGCUCUGUACGAGUUCGACUCUCGUCCCAGGCA